CUUAAUAAAAAAGUAAUUAAUUAACAAAUUAGACAUAAUAUAUAACAUAGGACACUGAGAAAUCCUGUCUGAUUCAAACGAAAAACAUGUUUAACCAAAUCCAAAACGCACUAUCAAAAUGAUAACAUUAUUAUUCAACCUUCCAACCUUUCUCAAUGUAGAAGAGAGAGAGAGAGAGAGAGAGAGAACUUAUCUGAGCAUGCGUUCCCUUUAGCGUAGCAAUCACACUAUCACUUCAGGAUAAGCUCUUACCCUUGAAAAAAAGCCAUUCUUUUGUAGACCUUUGCUUGGUAUCCAUAUAGAUCAAACUGAAUGGAAAAUCAGAAAAUUAACCAAACAUAACUUUGACUAAAACGAAAUGUUUGUUCAAACCGCAAAACGUUGAAUAAAAAGAUGUCUUGCAACUAUAAUAAUGAACUUCUCACACUGCCCUCAUGAUAUCAAUCCAUAACUUGUGAGGAGAAGAAAUUUUGACAACUUUAUUUUGCACUAUUUGUGCAUCACUUGGAAGGCAAAUCCUGGUCUUUUUGGGAAUGGCUUUCACUUCUGUUAGGAGAAUGGAAAAGUUUAGGCCUAAUUCCCAAGCUGAAUGGCAAUUUCUCUGAUUGGCUCAUGAGUUGCUGUGAUGAUGGAUUGAGAGAAUUUGCCAAGAGAUUUUGAUGAGAACUUGAACUCAGCAUCUGAUAGUGGUUGAUUUGUCUUGCAUUCAUCUCCAUUGCUGCAACAUGAUGUGAAGAAGGGAAAUAUGGCUGUGUUGUUGCUCCAUGAGGAGGACACACCAAAAUCUGAGAAGUAGUAGUAGUAUCACUCCCAGUUGAUAGAGCCAAUGUUGAUGGAAAUGGAACCACAUUGAUGCUGUGUACAUCUGUUUGGUUAAGAAAUCCAUGGUUUUGCCAUUGACCAAUAUUAACAUCAUGAGCUGAAUUAUUAGCCUCCCAUUGGUAACCAAGUGAUGGCAUAAUGUUCAUCAAGCUCAAAAAAGAAGGAUGGUUUGGUCUUGGCAAGAGAUUAUUUGGCAAAACAAGUGUACCACCAUGACAAAUAUUAUUAUUGCUUCCUUCUUUACCAUUACUAUUAUUAUGAUUAUUAUCAUCAUCUCCUUCACUUCUAUUCAUCCAAUUUGCUUUAUCAUCACUAACCAUUUCUCCUGAUUUUGGUUUCCACAAUAAAGUGUUCUGGCCUGAACCUUCACGAGAGGUGCUAACUUCAUUACAAGAAACAAGAGAGGGAUAACCAAGGGUGAAGUUACCUGGAGGAAUAGGAAGUGGUGGAAGUUCAUCAAUUUCAUGUUUUGCUGCAUUGAGCAACCAAUCAACAACCUUGCUUGGUUGGUUGAGUCCAGCCUAUCU
rnacentral:lncRNA from 1 species